GACGAACGCUGGCGGCGUGCUUAACACAUGCCAGUCGAACGGAAAGGCCCCUUUGGGGGUACUCGAGUGGCGAACGGGUGAGUAACACGUGAGUAACCUGCCCUUGACUUCGGGAUAACUUCAGGAAACUGGGGCUAAUACCGGAUAGGAAUCCUUGCUGCAUGGUGGGGGUUGGAAAGCUUCGGCGGUUUUGGAUGGACUCGCGGCUUAUCAGCUUGUUGGUGGGGUAGUGGCUUACCAAGGCUUUGACGGGUAGCCGGCCUGAGAGGGCGACCGGCCACAUUGGGACUGAGAUACGGCCCAGACUCCUACGGGAGGCAGCAGUGGGGAAUAUUGCACAAUGGGCGGAAGCCUGAUGCAGCAACGCCGCGUGCGGGAUGACGGCCUUCGGGUUGUAAACCGCUUUCAGCAGGGGCGAAGCUUGCGGUGACGGUACCUGCAGAAGAAGCACCGGCUAACUACGUG
rnacentral:rRNA from 1 species